UUCGUCUACCACCGUGUAAUCGUUUGCUCCUCUUUGUCUACUGCCACAAAGGCGAUUUGCUUGUCUCCUUCUAACACCACGAAGAACAGAUGAACUUGUUGGCUUUGAAGAAGAAUGGAAAGAAAAAGGUCAAAAGUAUAUACUUGGAUGGACUGGUAGUAUUGAAUUUCAGGUAAUUUUAGCAAGUGUCAAUGAAAUUCAAGGAGGAGAUGGAUGAAGUGUCACAGUUGGUCCAUCAUCUCAAUCAUAGCCAUUGUUGUGAUUGGUCAUACU